GACUGAGGUUCACGGACCAUCCAACCAAAGACAACAUCCUCUGGCAGACCAAUAGGACUUUCACACUGGGAAUACCAUAAUAUCAACAUAAGAUUCACUUGUCUUUUACAAUAUUCAACACAACAAAUGGAACUCACAAGCAGGUGCUUCAUUGACCAAGUGAGCUAAACUUGCAAUGGAUUUAAGCAUCAGAGCUAGACUACGCCUUUGAAUACAGCUGUUGUGGUCUGAAAUAAGUUGCAAAAGUCUCCUAUAUUUUUCCCCUAAUGUACUUUCUCCACACAGUAUUGUGAAAAAAACCAAGAAUUCUAGGAGAGUGCAUCCUUUUCUUCUACAGGAUCUGAAAAUUAAAUUAAGAAUUUACCUAAGUUAUCAUUCUUCCCUUUUUAAAAUGUUACCCACCUGUCAAAAGUUUCACCAAUUAAGUCCAAAACAAUACUGGAUGAAAGUUUGUAGUCCAGGUGAACCAGCUGUGAUUUCUGUGCUUGUAAAUAAAUGUUGAAAACCAA